UGCGCCUUGCCAGCCCGCUCAGAAACUCAAAGGAAUUGACGGGGGCCCGCACAAGCGGAGGAGCAUGUGGUUUAAUUCGAUGAUACGCGAGGAACCUUACCUGGGCUCGAACGUAAGAUGACUGUAGGUGAAAGCUUACAUCUCUUCGGAGCAUUUUACGAGGUGCUGCAUGGUUGUCGUCAGCUCGUGCCGUGAGGUGUCGGGUUAAGUCCCAUAACGAGCGCAACCCCUACCUUUAGUUGCCAUCAGGUUAAGCUGGGGACUCUAAAGGAACUGCCUACGCAAGUAGUGAGGAAGGUGGGGAUGACGUCAAGUCAGCACGGCCCUUACGUCCAGGGCUACACACGUGCUACAAUGGCCGGUACAAAGGGCAGCUACCUGGUGACAGGAUGCUAAUCUCAAAAGCCGGUCUCAGUUCGGAUCGGAGUCUGCAACCCGACUCCGUGAAGCUGGAAUCGCUAGUAAUCGUGGAUCAGCCAAGCCGCGGUGAAUACGUUCCCGGGCCUU
rnacentral:rRNA from 1 species